rnacentral:snRNA from 1 species
GGAUGAGAGGGCGAUCUGGCUGUGACAUCUGUCACCCCAUUGAUCGCCAGGGUUGAUUCAGCUGAUCUGGCUGGCUAGGCAGGUGUCCCCUUCCUNCCUCACCGCUCCACAUGUAUCCCUCCUGAAGCUGCGCUCUUGGUCGAAGAGGACAGCCUUCCCUAAUAUAGGCAGUACUGUUCAUUGGUCAUGGGUAUACAGUAGNUGCACUUGCCUGCUAGAACCUCCAGACAAGCUCAAGGUGCAGUUGUAGGAGAACGUAGGGUAAUCAAGCUUCCAAGACUGCAGACACAUCCAAGUGAGGAGCUGCACGU